UUUACCUCCCGCGCAGGCAGGAUGCCGGCCGCCGCCGGUUCCACAGCGGCCAUCGGUCUCCGCCUCUCUCCCCUUCUGGUUCAGCAGAUUGGGGCCCUCUGUGUUUUCAACAGGCUUUGCCCUUUUCGGUGACAGAGGCUGUUGCUAUUCCCAGCAGCCUAUCACGAGCAGGGGGAGGGCCGUGUCUCCAGGAUUGUUUUGCCUUUAGAUGCGUGUUGGAAGCAAGAGGUUAAGACUUGGGACUCUGGAGGCAGCAGCGUUUGUUUGGCCACCGGCUGGGGGCUAGCUCUUGUGUGUACCCCCCCCCCACCCCCCCACCCCUGCAAUGUGAAAAGCAGCUUGGAAACAGAAGCGUGAAGAUUUUAAAUGCAAGUCUGCAAGCCGAGAGUGGGGAACAAAUACCCACAGAUGGGAUCGGUUAACCUCGCAGAGGAAGACUUUAUGUAAAGACAUAGCAGAAGGAAAAGUGUAUCCAUUUUUCUUUUCUUUUCUUCUUUUUAAGCAAGCCCGUUACCCUAAAAGCCACGACACUCACCAGUUUAAACAAAACAUAAAACGUGUUUGUUUCAACGGGA